AUUGAACGCUGGCGGCAGGCCUAACACAUGCAAGUCGAACGAGUGGCGGACGGGUGAGUAAUGUCUGGGAAACUGCCUGCUGGAGGGGGAUAACUACUGGAAACGGUAGCUAAUACCGCAUACCAUCGGAUGUUCCCAGAUGGGAUUGGGUAGUAGGGGGGGUAACGGCUCACCUGGGCGACGAUCCCUAGCUGGUCUGAGAGGAGGACCAGCCACACUGGAACUUAUAUACGGUCCAGACUCCUACGGUAGGCAGCAGUGGGGAAUAUUGCACAAUGGGCGCAAGCCUGAUGCAGCCAUGCCGCGUGUAUGAAGAAGGCCUUCGGGUUGUAAAGUACUUUCAGCGGGGAGGCGUUACCCGCAGAAGAAGCACCGGCUAACUCCGUGCCAGCAGCCGCGGUAAUUC
rnacentral:rRNA from 1 species